rnacentral:rRNA from 1 species
UACGUAGGUGGCAAGCGUUGUCCGGAUUUAUUGGGUUUAAAGGGUGCGUAGGCGGUCCUGUAAGUCAGUGGUGAAAUACUCCAGCUUAACUGGAGAGGUGCCAUUGAUACUGCGGGACUUGAGUACAGUCGAGGUAGGCGGAAUUGACGGUGUAGCGGUGAAAUGCUUAGAUAUCGUCAAGAACACCGAUAGCGAAGGCAGCUUACUAGGCUGUAACUGACGCUGAGGCACGAAGGUGCGGGGAUCAAACAGG